UUAAGUCCCGCAACGAGCGNAACCCUCGCCAUUAGUUGCCAGCAUUUAGUUGGGCACUCUAAUGGGACUGCCGGUGAUAAGCCGGAGGAAGGUGGGGAUGACGUCAAGUCCUCAUGGCCCUUAUGGGCUGGGCUACACACGUGCUACAAUGGCGGCGACAGAGGGUUGCGAGCUCGCGAGGGCAAGCUAAUCCCAAAAAGCCGUCUCAGUUCGGAUUGUUCUCUGCAACUCGAGAGCAUGAAGGUGGAAUCGCUAGUAAUCGCAGAUCAGCAUGCUGCGGUGAAUACGUUCCCGGGCCUU
rnacentral:rRNA from 1 species